UACAUCACUUUGAAAUACCAGUUCCUGUACAGUCACCAAAGUUAAGCAAUGUUGAGCCUAAUCAGUACUCAGAUGGGUGAUUGCUUGGGAAUACUAGGUUCUG